rnacentral:rRNA from 1 species
UACGGAGGGAGCCAGCGUUGUUCGGAUAUACUGGGCGUAAAGCGCACGUAGGCGGCGCAGCAAGUCAGGGGUGAAAUCCCGGAGCUCAACUCCGGAAUUGCCUUUAAGACUGCAUCGCUAGAAUUGUGGAGAGGUAAGUGGAAUUCCGAGUGUAGAGGUGAAAUUCGUAGAUAUUCGGAAGAACACCAGUGGCGAAGGCGACUUACUGGACACAUAUUGACGCUGAGGUGCGAAAGCGUGGGGAGCAAACAGG